rnacentral:rRNA from 1 species
GGGACACGUGGUAUCCUGUCUGAAUAUGGGGGGACCAUCCUCCAAGGCUAAAUACUCCUGACUGACCGAUAGUGAACCAGUACCGUGAGGGAAAGGCGAAAAGAACCCCGGCGAGGGGAGUGAAAAAGAACCUGAAACCGUGUACGUACAAGCAGUGGGAGCACCUUCGGGUGUGACUGCGUACCUUUUGUAUAAUGGGUCAGCGACUUAUAUUCUGUAGCAAGGUUAACCGUAUAGGGGAGCCGCAGGGAAACCGAGUCUUAACUGGGCGUUAAGUUGCAGGGUAUAGACCCGAAACCCGGUGAUCUAGCCAUGGGCAGGUUGAAGGUUGGGUAACACUAACUGGAGGACCGAACCGACUAAUGUUGAAAAAUUAGCGGAUGACUUGUGGCUGGGGGUGAAAGGCCAAUCAAACCGGGAGAUAGCUGGUUCUCCCCGAAAGCUAUUUAGGUAGCGCCUCGUGAAUUCAUCUUCGGGGGUAGAGCACUGUUUCGGCUAGGGGGUCAUCCCGACUUACCAACCCGAUGCAAACUACGAAUACCGAAGAAUGUUAUCACGGGAGACACACGGCGGGUGCUAACGUCCGUCGUGAAGAGGGAAACAACCCAGACCGCCAGCUAAGGUCCCAAAGUCAUGGUUAAGUGGGAAACGAUGUGGGAAGGCACAGACAGCCAGGAUGUUGGCUUAGAAGCAGCCAUCAUUUAAAGAAAGCGUAAUAGCUCACUGGUCGAGUCGGCCUGCGCGGAAGAUGUAACGGGGCUAAACCAUG